CAUCCACAGUGGAACAAGCUCUGCAGACAUCAUCUGUGAACUUGGGUUCUCUGAACGUUGGGAACAGUGCCACGGUGACACUGGUAGUGGGUGACACACGUUAGACGGUGCCUUGCGCCGUCCAGCAGCAGUGUUCAAGCACGACACACUGGAUGCCAGCAUCAGGUAUCACAGCUGUUGGAUAUUGCCGAUCAGUAUGGGAUGCCCACCCUGAAGGAAGAAUGCGAUACACAGUUGACCGUGGGGACUGUGGCAGCUGCAGCUGUACUAGCAGUUACGCACUCCUGUGUCAGUCUCUGGCAUGACACAGUCUGCUGCAUAAAGGCCCGCUUAGUCCCUGUGUUGGCCUCACAGGGCUCUGUAAAUGUGGUGCGUAACCAGGCUGAACAUUUCAUCAAAAGGAGUCUGCUGCCAUCUGAUCCACCAGCAACAAUCAGGAUCAUCCACAAUGGGACAAGUUCAGGAGACAUCAUCCGUCAACCUGGGUUCCCUGUUGGGGACGGUGCCACGGUGACUCUAGUGGUGGGUGACACACGUCAGACAGUGCCUCGUGCCGUCCUGCGGCUGUGUUCCAGUACGACGCACUGGUGGGCGGCUGGAGCCGGGUGACAAUCCCCGUGUUGGAGGACCCGGUACUGCACCAGCCGCUGGCUUACCUGUUUACUCUCCAGGCCUCCCAGCUGCCAAACACGGCUUCCCAGUGUUUGGUCAUUGCUGAUAAGUGUGGGGUAUCUGCCCUGAAGGAGUAGUGUGAGAGGCAGUCGGCUGUGAGGACAGUGGUAGCCACAGCUGUUCUUGCAGUUAUGCACUCCUAUGUCAGUCUCAGGCCGGCAACCAUCUCCUCAGUCUCUGCGAGGGCCACACAGGGCUGGAUGAAUGUGAAGCUUUACCAGCCUCAACAUUUGAUUGCAGUGAGACGGCUGCCAUUUGAUCCAACAGAGACAACCAGGAGGCUGUCUGGAGAGGAGAAUGGAAGGAAGUUGAUGUAGGCAGCUGAAGGAGUGACUCGGCAAACUGUGGACACUGUUUAUAGUGAGUGAGUGCAGACGUGAUAGGACAGGUGGACUGCCCCGUGCUACGUAGCAAUGAAGGGAUACGUGAAUGCAGCAAUGUCACCAGUGGAGAGCGGAGCUGAGGUGGAUGCCGGGACAAGCAGCAUACUCUGCACACUGCUGUGAGGAGUGAACACGCAGCACUGGUGCAACUGCAGCUGGCAUCCUCUGCUGACACCGAAACCAGGCGUGUGGAGGGGAGAACGCUGCUCCACUGCGCGGCACUCAGAGAUUGUGUACCUUGGCUACUGUGUUGGUGGGUGCAGGGGCCAACAGAUGGCCAGGAGUGAUUUGAGAGAGACCCCUCUAACAGGGCCCAGGAUGAGGACAGAUGGCAGCUGAUGAUUGCAGUACUAUCAUGAAAUGUGCAGUCUGAUAAACUUCUGUGUAAUAAACGAGAAACACUUUCUCCAUCUUUUUAAUACUUUUAAAAUAAACAAUACAAAACUCC